UACGGGGGGGGCAAGCGUUGUUCGGAAUUACUGGGCGUAAAGGGCUCGUAGGCGGCCAACUAAGUCAGACGUGAAAUCCCUCGGCUUAACCGGGGAACUGCGUCUGAUACUGGAUGGCUUGAGUUUGGGAGAGGGAUGCGGAAUUCCAGGUGUAGCGGUGAAAUGCGUAGAUAUCUGGAGGAACACCGGUGGCGAAGGCGGCGACCUGGGUCGAUACUGACGCUGAUGCGCGAAAGCGUGGGGAGCAAACAGG
rnacentral:rRNA from 1 species